GGGCGGCCUCCGUGUGCCAAAAAUAGGCCACGGGCACAGCCGCGCCCAAAAAUCAGCCCCCGAAGGUCGGGGUCACAAGACCCCCCAGCGGAAAAAAGGCCAAGAAACGCGUGGGCUAUAGCCUUGGUGGGGGGCGUGGGUGAAGUUCGUCCGCGGGACUCGGAAUGGCACCAUACUUGGCGGGCGGCCUCCGUGUGCCAAAAAUAGGCCACGGGCACAGCCGCGCCCAAAAAUCAGCCCCCGAAGGUCGGGGUCCCAAGACCCCCCAGCGGAAAAAUGGCCAAAAAACGGGUGGGCUAUAGCCUUGGUGGGGGGCGUGGGCGAAGUUCGUCCGCGGGACUCGGAAUGGCCCCAGACUUGGCGGGCGGCCUCCGUGUGCCAAAAAUAGGCCACGGGCACAGCCGCGGCCAAAAAUCAGCCCCCGAAGGUCGGGGUCCCAAGACCCCCCAGCGGAAAAAUGGCCAAGAAACGCGUGGGCUAUAGCCUUGGUGGGGGGCGUGGGCGAAGUUCGUCCGCGGGACUCGGAAUGGCCCCAGACUUGGCGGGCGGCCUCCGUGUGCCAAAAAUAGGCCACGGGCACAGCCGCGCCCAAAAAUCAG
rnacentral:lncRNA from 1 species